rnacentral:rRNA from 1 species
UGGGGAAUCUUGCGCAAUGGGCGAAAGCCUGACGCAGCAACGCCGCGUGGGGGAUGAAGGCCCUCGGGUUGUAAACCCCUUUCAGCAGGAACGAAAAUGACGGUACCUGCAGAAGAAGGCCCGGCCAACUACGUGCCAGCAGCCGCGGUAACACGUAGGGGCCAAGCGUUGUCCGGAUUUAUUGGGCGUAAAGAGCUCGUAGGCGGUUGGGUAAGUCGGGUGUGAAAACUCCAGGCUCAACUUGGAGACGCCACCCGAUACUGCUCUGACUUGAGUUCGGUAGGGGAGUGGGGAAUUCCUGGUGUAGCGGUGAAAUGCGCAGAUAUCAGGAGGAACACCGGUGGCGAAGGCGCCACUCUGGGCCGAAACUGACGCUGAGGAGCGAAAGCGUGGGUAGCAAACA